AGCUAAAGCGAGUCAGUAAUCACGAAGACACAGAAGUGUGCGUGUGUGUACAACUCUGGGCUGCUAUUUGCUGGUUGUAAUAGGCAAUUAUUAGCCAUUGGUUCAGUGGACAAUCCGUUUAUAAAACAAAACGAUAUUCGAUUUUGCUGUUAGUAGUCACAAAUUGAAGUUACAGCAAUGAGUCAACCAGGAAACAUGGGUUAUGGACAGCAGCCACCUUAUCCUGCUCCUGGUCCAUAUCCUCCUGCAGGCAGCUAUCCUCAGCCAGGUCCAUAUCCUCAGCCAGGUCCAUAUCCUCAGCCAGGUCCUUAUCCUCAGCCAGGCGGAUAUCAACAGCCAGGUGGCGGAUAUCCCCAGCCUCAGCCUGGACAGUACCCUCCACCACAACAACCUGUAGCAGGAGCAUGGAUGCCAGCUCCACAUGUACCAAACUGUCCUCCUGGCCUUGAGUACCUCACACAAAUCGACCAGAUUAUUGUUCAACAGAAGGUUGAAUUACUUGAAGCAUUUACUGGUUUUGAGACAUCUAAUAAGUACAAAGUGAAAAAUUCUCUUGGACAACAAAUGUAUUUUGCUGCUGAAGACACAGACUGCUGUACUCGUCAAUGCUGUGGUCCCAUGAGACCAUUUGACAUGAAGAUCAUGGACAAUUCACAAAACGAAGUAAUUCAUCUGAACCGUCCUUUGGCCUGUGAUUCGUGCCUCUUCCCGUGUUGCCUACAGAGUAUUGAAGUCACUUCUCCCCCGGGUACUGUAAUUGGAAGCAUCCAUCAGGAAUGGAGUAUACUGGCACCGAAAUUCACUGUCAGGAAUGCAUCGGAUGAUGUCAUUUUGAGAAUUGAAGGUCCUUUUUGUACUUACAGUAUAUGCGGGGAUGUGGAAUUCCAAGUGCUCUCUCCUGAUGGUUCAACUCAGGUUGGCAAAAUCAGCAAGCAGUGGACAGGCCUUGCCAAGGAAGCCUUCACUGAUGCUGAUAAUUUUGGAAUUACGUUCCCCAUAGACCUUGAUGUGAAAAUGAAGGCUACCUUGCUUGGGGCUGUGUUCCUCAUUGACUUCAUGUUCUUCGAGAAGAAAGGCAACAAAGAAAAUGAUUCAGUUGGAAUGCUUUAAGCUGGACCAGUGGAGGAUACUGGGUGAUAUCAGUGUACUUAACAUUAUUUUCAUAACAAAAAUGUCCAGUUUUUAGAUAAUUAUUUGAUUUAAUAAAAAAAAAAACAACAGAAUGUCAGGUAUAUUCUUAGUAAUAUUAAAUAGAUGAUAAAUAAUAUAUGAGCAUUUUUUGUUUAUGGAGAGUGUUAUGUUAAAAGACAACUAUAAGUAGACAGAAUUUGUAUAUAGUCAAGUAUUUUUUGCUAUCAAUGUAAAUUUGAUUUAUCAUUUAUUUUUUAUUCUCCUCCUAAUGUUUAUACAUUGUCCCUUAUGAUCAGUUCUGCAAACUGUAUCCAGUGUAAUCUAAUAUAUAUGUUCUUCUAAUAUCUUGAUGUAGAAAAAUAGUGUGGAUAAAAAGGAUCAAUUAAAAAAUGAGACAUCAGUUUUCCAAAUCCUCUUGAAGGUAACAUCCAGACAGAAUUCAAAAUGUGCUAGUGUUUUGCCAUUAUUAUGUCUAUAUUUGUACAGUGUCUUGUUAUUCUAUUGGAGCAUUAAUAAUGGACUAAUUAUAAGGGAAUUGAGUCUACCAUUGCCCAGGGUUAAAUGCAUAAGAAAAACCUUAUGUUAGAAGUAAGUAUUCAGUAUUCAGUCUUAUUUUUCUGUAAAACAUUUUUCUUAAAUACUUAUUGAAAGUGUUAUUAUGUUAGUUGGGGCUGUUUAAGAAUUCGUUCUCUUUUAACCCGUUAGUGCAGGGUGCAUGCACUGCAGAUUGUUUUGUCUAACACAAAUGGCUCCACAAGUGCUUAGGCACCAAGGAGUCACUUACUAGGCCUUCCGUUUCCUUGAAUUUUUUGGGAAAGUUUCUUCAUCUAUUACUGUUUUUUAUAAUUUUUAAUCAUUUUCAAUGUUGUAACUGUAACUAUUAAUAUCAUUAAGACAUUUUUGACAAUGAUAGUAAAGAGACUAGGACAGAAAUAAGAUUAGAUGACUAUUAUUUCCCAAAAUGUAAGGAAGGAGUAAACAAGUGAGAUCAGGUUGGGCUAGCUUUUUACUCCUAGGUGACUGAGCACUUCUAGAGUCAUCUGUGGAAAAUAAAGUUUACAAAAGAAAUCAAAGUAGAUGUGGCAUGUGCAUAUGCACUUUGGUUAUCAACAGGUAAUAUUAAGUGCUGUUCCUGUACAACUGACCUCAAAAACAACUGAUCAUUGGAAGGGAUGCUUGUUGUUCUUAAUUUUAAGUGUCAGUGUCAUUUAAAACAAGGGCCAUCACUACAGGAGAACCAGAGUGCUGUAAUCCCUUUUUCAGUGGUCCCCCAUCCUUGAUUUUUUUACCAAAUGUCUGAUCUCUCAAUGGAGAGAGCAUAUAAUUAAUUUCUAUAUUCAAAGUACAGUCAGAGCUGCAUACAUGAGAACACAGAUUUUCUUAAGUUCACAAGUAUGUGGACUGAUUUUUUGUUUGUAAUGAAAUACAAUAAUUUAAUUUUAAGCUUGUAAGAUCUUUUAGUUGUUUUUAUUCCUUGAAUAAAUUUAGUUGAUAGUAAAAGGUAUCCCAAGAACAAAUAUAUUUGCAUCAGAAACUAUUUAUUAUAUAUUUAUCACCCGUUUCCUUUUUCUUAUUUUCUAAUAGAUGUCUGUAUUACUGACAUGUUGUUCUGAAAUAACACACUCAUGAUGGUUUAUGAAAUAUUUUAUGCAUGAACAUCUUAUUGUACACUUAACCCUUCCACCAGGACAUGUUACUUGAUGUCCUAAGAGAUGUCAUAUAAUAUCUUUACAUUUUGAUUACUUAUUGUGUAACUGUGUGACUGAGGCAGCAACUAUACAAACUAUAUAUUAAAAGAGCCAGAGAUGCCGCAUGUCACUAGCUGGUCAUUCAAAUGUUUUAUCUACACAUAAAUACACCGUAAUUAAAUUAAUUCAUGUGAAAUGUGAAUAUUUCAUUUAAAUUAUGUUACUACCAUGCAUAUAAAAUCAACAACAAAGAAAGUAAAUGUUAUGAAGAAACAAUAGAAUUAUAAUGAAGACGACUAUUGUUUACAUUUCAUGGUCAUAUAUCAGAAAGUUUGAUACUCAUUUACUUUGUUGUAUUUUUUUCCAUACCAAAGGGAUAUGAUUAGAGUUCUUUACAGUGUGUAAUCAAAGUUGGGAGCCUAAAGAUCCUUUAUGUAUUUUUUUUUCUUUUUUUUCAAUACAGCUUUAUAUUUCCUA
rnacentral:misc_RNA from 1 species